CGGCCGCGUUAUCGAAGCCGGAGGAGCGACGCGACGGUCUCCUCGUCUUCUCUCCGUUCAUCUCUCGCGCGCGUCUCGACGACCGUUCGCGCUCACUUCCACUCUUGGCGAACGUUUCAUAAAUAAGCCUUUGUGCGACCCAUCUGGAAAUUGAAUUGAAAAGUUCGUCUCGCCCACACCGUGGGAAAACUGAAAACGACACCGCGGCGCAGAUCGGCGCGCACGACCGUCGACAACGUCAAUUUUCUGGACAAUUUUUCCCUCCGCCUCGCGCCGGUCCACCAUCAUCGUGGUGCGCUUCGUUUAUUCGCAUUCAACCGGUUGAAAUCUCAUUUAUUACCCGUAUGCAAUUUUGCCCCGAUGCUUUGCCGCGCCGCGCCGUCGAGCUACCGCUGCACCGGUAGUAGUAGUCGGUCGGCUUUUGCAACCGCGACGCGUCGUACGACGACAAAACCGUUCGCGCGCGAAGCGCGACGUAAUUUCUGACGCGAAUAAUCCUCGUUCGCUUCAAUUCGCUGUAGUAAUAUACGGAGUGAUCCGGCCAUUAUCGUCAACACGGCUCGGUGUUUAUUGUAUUUGUCGUCGAUGCUGCAUCGCGCGCGACGAUGAUAAUGCAAUUCGUGAUGUGGAUGCAACGCUGACGAAGGCAACAUCUCGCUUCGCGACAGAACGAGAGACAAAAUAACCAUGAAGUCUGGUCACGAGUCUUGGAGAGCAUUUAGCAUAGUUCGUUCGACCAUCAACUACCACUUGACGCGAGAGAAAAAAUUUCACAAGGGCGCCGCGCGAUUGUGAACAAGACCAUUCCACGAAAGAAAGGUAGAACUCCGUUAACUUUUUCGCUAGCCACUUCGUUCAAAUCACUCGGCCAGCAAGGGCAGAUCAUCAGAGACCGAAUAAUUGCCGAGUACGGACUCGUCAUCGCGAAAGAAGGCACUCCGAUCGUCUCUCUUCAAAUCAUUAAUGUUCGUGACACGGAGAAGCAUUAAAACGCUAUCGACGAUACUUGAACUAAAUGCAACAUCAAUUUUUGAUAAUUCUAAAUUACUUAAACUCCGUUAUCUUAUUUAAUCUGCAAAAAUAUUGAUGAGAGAAUAUAUAUCCUAUACAA